UUUUCUUUUCGAUGAUAAAUAGCCCGAUAGAACAUAUUACAAUUCACGGAAAGACGAUCACAUAAUAUGGCAUCCUACGAUAUAAUAUCCAACUAUACUCGAGUACUCAACUAUUAAUCUUUGGUACAAAGUGAAACGAAGUAAAUAACCAUAACGACAAUAACAUGAUGCUCCAUCCGUCAUAGUUCUAUUCGAUUUGUCCUGUGGUUGUGACAUUUUCAGUAUUAUCCGAAAGAUCUUGUUCUCGGAUGUUGAUCAUAUUUACCAAGCUAGUGUGCAUCACCAUUGGGCGACAAAAGUUUCACUCCUCGUAUGACAUUUCGACAUUUCGGGUCUAGUUUUGUAAAACAGAACAAAACUCAAUUGUCCCAUAAUGUAGCAGCUCCUCUAUCAUCUGUUCUAUAUGCUCAUCUUCAAUAGACUUGUAAUGUUGUAUAUUAUCUAUUUUAUCCUCCCAUUUCACCAUAUUUCCACAAUUGCCACUAUGCACCGUGAAAUCCCCUGUCUCAGAAGAACAAGGUGACUGACGUUGAGUUUGUUUAACUUCUUUGUUAGCCGCGACUGUUUUGUUCGUUAAUCCAAGAGAUGUCAUAUGGCAUUUAUGUAAUUUAGCUCUCAAAGCUGCAGACAGUAACUUUGAAGAGGACGACUGUGACCCCUGUUCGGCAUCGUAACAGAAGUUAGUUCGCGCUCUCGUACCGCACAUAAGCCUAGCCGCUUCGUCGUACGCUCGUGCUGCAUCCUCUGCUGUCUCAAAUGUGCCUAACCAUAUUCUUGUUUUCCUGGUGGCGAAUUUCGGAGACCCAAGAUCCCCAAUGUCUUUGACGAACUCCUCUGUAUCGCUGUUGAGAUCUAGCCAUGGUGGUUUGAUUAAUUGCAAGAGGUUUUGAAUCUUGAUGGGGUUGUCGUGAAGGUGUUUGUGGAAAUGUCUCAGUGAGAACACUAGAACAAGACUUGUGGU
rnacentral:lncRNA from 1 species